rnacentral:rRNA from 1 species
UACGGCGGGGGCUCGCGUUCUUCGGAAUUACUGGGCGUAAAGCGCACGUAGGCCGACAGUUAAGUCGGGGGUGAAACCCCGGGGCUCACCCCCGGAACUGCUUUCGAUACUGGCUGUCUGGAGGUCGAGAGAGGUGAGUGGAAUUUCGAGUGUAGAGGUGAAAUUUGUAGAUAUGCGGAGGAACACCAGUGGCGAAGGCGGCUCACUGGCUCGAUACUGACGCUGAGGUGAGAAAGCGUGGGGAGCAAACAGG